rnacentral:lncRNA from 1 species
ACGAUUCAUGUCCGUUUAAAUAUAAUUUCAAAUCAUGAUUUGACACUGAAAGUUUAUUUGAACAUAAUGUUUAGAUCCAUAAAGUUAAUACUUUUUCUUCUAAACAUGAAAAUUUCAUAAUUUGUGAAAAAUAUCAAAGUUUUCAAUUUAAGAGCUGGUGAAGGGGAUGAGCGAAAAUGGUGAGUUUACUAGACGCGGUUCAACUAACGAUGACUCUUGGAACAACUGAAGUAUAGAAAGUCGUCAAGCACAUACGAUAAGGACCAAGGAAGAUCUCGUUGUUGCAUAGCUCAGAUCGGAGCAAGGUGCCAUCAGAUUUUCAAUAAGUAAUCUCAUAAUUGGACGCUCAUGUUCAACAUGUAGGUUUCUAAUAAAUAUGGUUGGUAAAAUGACAAGUAAAGUAGGUUGGAAAUUACUUAUGCAUGUCAAACAUCCACUAAAUUUUUUAAUCAUCAAUAUUAAUUAACUAGAAUAAGUGGACGUUCUCGUAUUUGAUUGGAU